AAAACGCUUUUUAAUCAAGACUAUAGUCUUGCUUUUUAGACCAAAAAUGAUGAAGCAAAGAGCUGCCCUUUUAUCAAGAUUAUAGCCUUACUUUUUAGACCGAAAAUGAUGGGGCCAAAAACGCUUUUUUAUGAAGACUAUAGCCUUGCUUUUUAGACCAAAAAUGAUGAAGCAAAGAACUGCCUUUUUAUCUAGCCUAAAGUCUUAUUUUCUAAACCAAAAAUGAUGGGGCCAAAAACGCUUUUUAAUCAAGACUAUAGUCUUGCUUUUUAGACCAAAAAUGAUGAAGCAAAGAACUGCCUUUUUUAUCAAGCCUAUAGCGUUACUUUUUUAUCAAAAAUGAUGGGGAAAAGCACCCAUGUCAGCAAGACUGUAACGUUUCUUCUUUGCCAUACUCACUUUAAAUCACUGUCAAAACGCUCCACCCAGCAUGAUUAUCGCCCUCCCUCAAUGACAAAACGAUCAGGACAAAAAAGACAUCAUUUAGCAAGACUGUAGACUUGCUAUUUGCCACAAGGGCCAGAGAAAAACACUCUUGUUAGCAAGCAUUUAACCUGAUAUUCUUUUGCCAAAUAGUCACAUCUAAAAAGACCCCUUGAAUCAAACCUUGAGACAGCCUUUUUUCUCAAAAUAGGUACGACUUAAAACACCCCUCCUUGCAUGCCUUAAGCCUUACAUUUUUGCCAUAUCAGUGGCAGCUAAAAACAUCCCUUUUAGCACCCGUUGGCCUUACAUUUUUACAACCAUAGUGACGACCAGAAUGAUCGACUUUAAGAUAUUCAAAUAACUAGAGAUAUAUAGAAAUUAAAAAAUUUGCAUCAAAAUUAAUUAUCAUUAUGAUGAUUUUGACAAGGGUUGAAAAAACAUCAGCUGUUGUUUACAACUUCACAAAAAAGGGUCUUCUGGUUUUAAGAAAUAUAUUAGGAAAAGGGAAGAGGACGAGGGGUAAAAGAUAGUUUUAGGGAUGUGUAAUAGAAAGGGGCACGAGGAAAGGGUUAUAGGCUCGGUAAAAGGAAAGAUUAUGAUAAGGGUAAUGUCAAAGAUUAUUCGAAAAACAUGUUGUUUACAACUUCGUAAAAAGGGUCAUUGUAAACACUUGUAUGUCGCUUUCACUUCUGAUGUAAACAAAUUGGUAAAAGAUGGCAGCAAGUUCAAAGUGCAAGGUUUCUCUUGGGGGUUUUUCGUUGCCAUUUCUCUUGACUACCAUCAUGGACGUCAACAAGGGCGCAAUAUUAAAAACUCCUGUCUUUUUCAAAAACUGCACUCAGUUUUAUGUCCCAAGUUGUUUUGAAAGAGAGCCUACGCAUUGAAAAUGUCCUUGGGGGUUACUGUCUUCCAGAAUGUUCUCGCUUGAAGUUUCUUAACACUGUAAGGUCUCUAGUGGUGUCAAAAUGCACCCUGUUAUCCCAAGCGCAUUCGUUGCAGAGAUGGUUGCCUUUUAUGGUCAAAACUGACCUCAGUUGAUGAGCAGGGGUGUGAAAAGCGUGCAAUAGAGAGUAUCCCAGAAUGCACUAGCAACAUGUCAAGCCAACGUGCUUUUCGAUUUUCCCCUCAUUCACGAAGACCCGAUGUCGCGGACGGUCAGGUUCAGGAAACUGCUGUCAUCUACGUUCACAUCUACACAAAUUGCUGAUUUGAUAUGCAGAAUGCAGUUGGAACUGGUAGGGAUGGUGCCUGGCUCCUCAAAAAGAGAAAACACCAUUCAGAUGAGGAGAGCCCGUGGGUUAACGUCAAUAGCUAAAAAGCCAUGGUAUAAAGUGUAAUGGAAGAUUCUUCAUCGUUUCAUCGUGACCCAUUCUGCAGCCCCACGUGUGAAGAUCCCAAAAGAGCUAUGGUCACAGCAAAAACGCCAUGGCAUAAAGUCUAAAGGAAGAUUCUCCAUCUGCAGCCCUAAGUGUGAAGAUCUUAAAAAAGAGCAAAAGUCCCGGCAAAAAUGGCAUCCUCCAUACCCCCAUUAACACCCACAUCAACCCUCUACCCCCCAUCUUCCACCCACUCAAUUCCUACCUGAUGAUGACUGGAUGGGACACAAGAGAAAUAAGAAGAAAGAAAAGAGACGAGAGAGAGACAGUUGGCAAUUCCUGACGAGGCAACUCCCCGAUGAUGAUGAUGAUGAUGAUGAUGAUGAUGAUGAUGAUGAUGAUGAUGAUGAUGAUGAUGAUGAUGAUGAUGACUGCGAAGAACAUUCAUUCUCUGUCCAAAGUUGGGUGAAAUUGACUUUCAUUAUGUCUUGUAGUAUAUAUACCAGUUAUUUGCAGUUAUUUAUACCAGUUUUUUGCAACCUUGAUACCAUUUUAAGAUUACAUUCUUUAGACUGGUAAAAACUGAAAGCCCUCCAUUUUUCGCUAUAUCAAUCAAGUCUUUGUUUGUCAAGCAAACCCACUUUUUCAAGUAUUAGAUCUUCUUAAUUGAUUUGAUCUCAACCCAAACCUACCCAACAUUUUUCAAAUAAAAUACAAUUAUUUUGUGCUCAUUGCCUUUAAAGUUCCCCUCUUUAAAGAAACGUUUAUUAAAAGAACAAAAUAUUUUAGCAGUUUCCGAAACAUUUAAGGAACCCAAGAGUUUUAAGGUACUUUAGUAUUUCUCUAGGAGCAAGUCAUUAAUUUCAAAACUUUUAAGAUUUUAUAUCUUUCCUUGUAUAUCGCUUAUCAAAUACAGAUCUUGAUGUUUGAAUAAAACUAAUUUUCCCCAAAUAGGUAUGUUUCAACAACCCACAGAAAAUUUUGCAAUCGAUUUAGUAUCAUUGAUAACUAGUACACUGCCAAUUUUAUUGCCUUUUCGCCUUUUUUGAAGAUAUAACAUUUUGCAAUUCUUUUGGGCACUUUUGCAUUUCAUGUUAGGCUAAGUAAAUUGUAUUUAAGAUGCAUUUCUUUGCUAUUGUAGUUUUAAUGAUAUUUGUAGAGUAUUUAACUUAAUUUGAUUGUUGUUAAUGAUUUUUUGCGUUGUUA